AUGGGCCUGGCCUCCCAGGCUCUGAGUGCCUGUGGGCUGCGGCCAGACCUCUGUCCUGCUCCCUUCCCCCCACCCCAAUCCCCCCAGACUGCUUGUCAUCAUGUCCUACCGGGCCUGCCUGUACGGCCGUCCUGCAUCCACGAGUCCCAGGCUCUGCCUUGCCCCCAGCCUCAUGGCCGUUCUGGGGGCUGCCACCUGGCCUGUCGCUUCUGUUCUUGCGCUUCUCUUCUUGCACCUUCUCCUGUCAUUGCCAUCCCUACGAGCCACCUCCCUCCACCGAAAACCAGGCUGCAGGUCAGCCCGUCCUCGACACCCUGGCGGCGACAGUCGGCUGAAGAACUGGAUGGAAGAGGCAGGAGAGUUGCCCUGGACCAGCGCUCCUUCAGGACGGUCACCUGGCAUCUCAUGCCCACCUGGUGCCCCGUGACUCCCUCCUGGUUUGGGCUGAAGCCGUCUCGAAUCCUCCGUGGGACAGGACCGUGGACACGCCACCCCAGUACCCUCCAGCUCCAAAAUCCCUCCACAGCCACGGGGAUACCUGCACGCGUUCCCGUGGGACAGGCCGGACCCAAAGACUCUGGACCCGGGCCACUCCCCUGCAUGGAGGGGCGCGUCCACCCCGCCUCCCCACCCUCUGACUGAUGGACUUCACUGAUUUGAGUGUCAGACACGCGGGCUGGACCCCUCCCCACCCCUCAUGAACCCUGAGACUUGGGGGAGCGCCGAGCCUCGCUGUCUGCAUCUGUGAAAUGGGAUCGGACGCCUACCUCACAGGGCUGUUGUGAGGGGCAUGUGACGCGGUCGCAAAGUGCCCUCCCGGGGGCUUGGCACACCCUGUUGUGUCUCAAUAAAUGUGUUUCUUGCCUUAACAAAAACAGUGAUGGAUGUGCUACUAAUCUGAGGAGGGGUGAACGUCGGGAUGCUAUCUGGCUGGGGGCUUCUCCUCCUCUCGGGCCCGUCUGAUGGGAGGGGCAGGGGAGCCAGCUCCAGUCCCAGGAAGCCACCUGUCCCCUGCCCACUGGAU
rnacentral:lncRNA from 1 species